GAUGAACGCUGGCGGCGUGCUUAACACACGCAAGUCGAACGAAGCAUUUGCGACAGAUUUUUUCGGAAUGAAGUUGCUUAUGACUGAGUGGCGGACGGGUGAGUAACGCGUGGGUAACCUGCCUUGUACUGGGGGAUAGCAGCUGGAAACGGCUAGUAAUACCGCAUAAGCGCACAAUGUUGCAUGACAUGGUGUGAAAAACUCCGGUGGUAUAAGAUGGACCCGCGUCUGAUUAGCUAGUUGGUGAGAUAACAGCCCACCAAGGCGACGAUCAGUAGCCGACCUGAGAGGGUGACCGGCCACAUUGGGACUGAGACACGGCCCAGACUCCUACGGGAGGCAGCAGUGGGGAAUAUUGCACAAUGGAGGAAACUCUGAUGCAGCGACGCCGCGUGAGUGAAGAAGUAAUUCGUUAUGUAAAGCUCUAUCAGCAGGGAAGAUAGUGACGGUACCUGACUAAGAAGCUCCGGCUAAAUACGUG
rnacentral:rRNA from 1 species